rnacentral:tRNA from 1 species
GCCGGCUUAGCUCAGUUGGUAGAGCAGUUGAUUUGUAAUCAUCAGGUCGGGGGUUCGAGUCCCCCAGCCGGCUCCA